rnacentral:tRNA from 1 species
AAGAGAUUAAGACAACAAACUAGCUGCUAACUAAGUUUUUAAGCGGUUUAAUUCCGUUUAUCUCUUU